rnacentral:ncRNA from 1 species
GAAAAAGCCUCUAGCGAGUUUCAUGGCGGCCCGUACCCUAAACCGACUCAGGUGGUCACGGUAGAGAAUACCGAGGCAUUCGGGUGAACUAUGGUUAAGGAACUCGGCAAAAUGCCCCCGUAACUUCGGGAGAAGGGGGGCCACAUCUGGUGAUGAGCUUUGCGCUCUGAGCUGGGGGUGGCCGCAGAGACCAGCGAGAAGCGACUGUUUACUAAAAACACAGGUCCGUGCGAAGCCGUAAGGCGAUGUAUACGGACUGACGCCUCGCCCGGUGCUGGAAC